rnacentral:rRNA from 1 species
CGGAAAGCCUGAUGCAGCGACGCCGCGUGAGGGAUGACGGCCUUCGGGUUGUAAACCUCUUUCAGUAGGGAAGAAGCGAAAGUGACGGUACCUGCAGAAGAAGCGCCGGCUAACUACGUGCCAGCAGCCGCGGUAAUACGUAGGGCGCAAGCGUUAUCCGGAAUUAUUGGGCGUAAAGAGCUCGUAGGCGGUUUGUCGCGUCUGCCGUGAAAGUCCGGGGCUCAACUCCGGAUCUGCGGUGGGUACGGGCAGACUAGAGUGAUGUAGGGGAGACUGGAAUUCCUGGUGUAGCGGUGAAAUGCGCAGAUAUCAGGAGGAACACCGAUGGCGAAGGCAGGUCUCUGGGCAUUAACUGACGCUGAGGAGCGAAAGCAUGGGGAGCGAACAGGAUUAGAUACCCUGGUAGUCCAUGCCGUAAACGUUGGGCACUAGGUGUGGGGGACAUUCCACGUUUUCCGCGCCGUAGCUAACGCAUUAAGUGCCCCGCCUGGGGAGUACGGCCGCAAGGCUA